rnacentral:lncRNA from 1 species
GGCAGGACCAGGUGGAGGUAGUUGAAUCAUGGGGCCGGUUUUCCCUAUGCUAUUCUCGUGAGAGACAGUGAGUCUCACAAGAUCUGGUGGUUUUAUAAGCAUCCAGCCCUGCUUGCACUUACUCUAUCCUGCUGUCCUACGAGGAAGGUGCCUGCUUCUCCUUUGCCUCUGUCAUGAUUGUGAACUUCCUGAGGCCUCCCCAGCCAUGCAGAACAGUUUAUGAAGAACGUUCAAGAGUGUGGUGCUUCAUACUGAGUGUCCACUUGACUGGAUUGAAGGAUACAAAGUAUUGCUCCUGGGUAUGUCUGUGAGGGUGUUGCCAAAGGAGAUUAACAUUUGAGUCAGGGAGCUGGGGAAGGCAGAUCCACCCUUAAUCUGGUGGGCGCAAUCUAAUGAGCUGCCAGUGUGUCUAGAAUAUAAAGCAGGCAGAAAAAUGUGAAAAGAGAGACUGGUCUAUCUUCCUAGCCCACAUCUUUCUCCUGUACUGAAUGCUUCUUCAGUUUUGGAACUCGGACUGGCUCUCCUUGCUCCUUAGCCUGAAGAUGGCCUAGAGUGGGACGUUGUGAUUGAGUGAGUUAAUACUUAAUAACCUCCCCUACUAUUUCUCUAUUCCACUAGUUC